CCAAUGACAGCAGGGGUCAGUGUUACGUCUGAGCUACGAUAGGCUGGAGGAAAUCGGCCCAUGACCAGCCCCUCCUCUUCCGCUCCAUCGCCAUGGCGGAGAUCAGCGAGUCGCUUCUGUCGGUGUCGCCGGCCUCGGCGCCCACAAGGACGGUUGUGAUUCCCCUUCGCGCCUCGGUGGGUCUGUUUCGGGGACGUCUGUGGUGGCUGACGAAACAUGCUUUGACAGGGAGCGAGCGAGGAUCAAUGACUACAACUCCCAGAAGGCCCCACUGAUGACGUUGUGGUGUUGUUUCGGGCUUUCCCACCACAGAUGUAAGGCUCAAUGGUCUAUAAUUAUCUGGACUAUCCCUACUACCCUUUUUGAACAAGGGGACAACAUUCGCCUCCCUCCAAUACUCCGGUACAAUUCCCGUGGACAAUGGGGACAUAAUGAUCUUCGCCAGAGGCUCAGCAAUCUAUUUCCUUGCCUCGGAUGCAGAACUGGGAAGCGCAGAUGGAGUUCAACACAGAUGAAGAGGUUCAUUUCUGCAGGUCAAAUUUGAACACAGAAUAUAAUAUUAAUGGGACAUUACUCCUGACAUUGGUCCCAAGACCCAGCCUGUUUACAGAACCGGAGCGGAACUGGAGCAGAUUCUUAGACACUUGUUUUCAUCGCAAAUCCAGAAGACAGUUUAACGUUUUUUCGUGAAUUUAUUCUGAGUGAAGUUGUGGAGAUGGGAGUUGGUCUCCGCGUUGUAAAAUGAAUCUGUCCCGGACUCGUAACUGAGAUAAACUCCCACCCUCCCGGGGUUGGGACAGGCAGCGAGUCGGGGUUCAGGGGAGGUGGCAACACUGAACAAAUCAUAAUUCAAGUCCGAUAACCCCUGUCCGAUGACCCAGAUCAGCCAGAUAGUGGCGUCUGU